UGCUCCGGUGACCAUGUGGUUAGAGCAUCCGCCUCGGAUGCGGGAGGUUGUGGGUUCGAACCCCAGUCAA